AACAUUAGGAGAGGCGAGGAGGUGCUUCAAUUGCAAGGUUUAUUUAUAUACAGAGUGAUCCACAGUAGCAGAUGUUCAUUAGUUUUACUAUAAGUGGUGAUUCUUGUCGAGGGCUACUGGGAAGGAUGGAUAAAGUGGCCCAGGCAGGUAAAGUGGCCACCUUCUGUUUCCGGACGAACUGAUAACAGUUAUCUGUCAACGACAUAUGGCCGGGUCCGUGCUCGUCUUCAGAUUUUAUGGUGAAAUAAUUGUGCUUUGUGGUAUCUGAUCUAAGUUAUGCCAAAUAAAUACACACGGACGUCACAGCAGCAGGAAUGCAGUUCAGAAGUAAUGUAUAAAGCUAUACAGCUGUACGAAAAGGUGAAAUGGGUUUUUUAAAAGCAAGCAAAGCCUUCGGUGUUCCUCGAACAACGCUCAAACGGCGUCUAAAUGGAAAAAACAAAGACGCCGUUGUAAAUAUAAAAAUAAUGGGGUGUCGUCGUCCAAUUUUUAGUCCAAAACAAGAGGAAGAAUCAGGACGUUAAUACAAAUACACCAGGUGCAGUUACCCCACCAACAUUUAAUCCUUACUUAAACCCGCAACCCAUA